CCUCAGAAUGUGGUGACACAAACAAGAAAAACCAGAACUUGAACUUCUCAGAGAACCCCAUGCAAUACUUUUCUAUAGUGUCAUCAUUGUGUCCAGCUACAGAGUACAACAUGCCCGAUUAUAUGUAUUCAUUUUAUGUGACAGGGUCUUGAUCUCUCUGAUAAUAUAUAUAUAAUUUUUUACUAUCAAAAGAAACGAACUGAUGAAAAAACAUGAGCAAGUGACAAAGGUCAUACUGGAAAGAGCAUAUAUGAUAUCAGUGAGAUUUCUGAUCCCAGUCAUAGAGCUCUGCUCAGAUUUUUAAGCAGCACCAAGGUAUUUCAUUGUAGAAUGCUCUUUGGCACACCCUACUGUUGUGUCCUGAAACAUAACGCCAGUACCGUAGGAGCCUCUCCAUAUUUGGCACAAGUCACGUGCGAAAUUGUACGCACAGAUGGAUAAACAAGACACAGAAGAUAGAUUCAGUGCGUGUCACAGACCACCUCGACGUAGCAAUAUAACAUGCCUCAUACAUUAUUAAGGCGUUCGACAGUCUGAGCCCACCACUCUGCUGUGUAGAGAGCCUCUGCAGCGGAGGGUGAAUGCUCCUCUCUGAGAUUGAUUUUACAUGUCAAUUUUCUAAAAUCAUUUAGAAAAACUAUAAAGGAACCACCUCCCUAAAAACUGUAAUUUUAUUUAAAAAAAAUACCCUGCAUUUUUAAACUAACCUAAUAUAAAAAAAAACAUUUAGGAAAUAACCAAUCACUUUAAUCUGCAUUAAAUUUAAUUAAGCAAAUAGGUUACAGUGUCCUAUGGGGAAAGCGCUUUAGCUAAUAAAAUACUUCAGCUGGCAAGAGAUUUUUUUUUCUUUUUUACUUUUAGCUGAAGAGUAAUCUGCAAACAGCUAUACACAAAAAGUGAGUCUAAAUAGAUGGACAGAAGGUUUGUGACAUCACUUAUUUGUUUAGUUGUGGGUGUAUUUGAAGCCAGUUUUUCAUCUGUGGAGUUGUUGCUAUUUUGAUAGCUUUGACGUCAUUUCAUUCCAGCAUUAAAAAAAAAAAAAAAAAAAAAAAGGACAUGAGAAGGAGAAAUGACUCUGAAAGUUGGAACACUAUUGACUCACUUCUAUACUUCAUACUUUGUCGCAUUUAUAUUUUUUAAGAUAUAUUUGAUAACUGAAAUGCAUCAAUGGUAUUUAAAUGUAAUUUUUCCAGUUUAUUUAUCAUUUUUUAAAAAUAUUUUAGAAGAAUAAAAGAUUGCGGACAGGCUUUUGUUUUGGGGUUUUUGCUUAGUUUCAAAGUAUUACUGAUCACUUCAUUAUAAUGUGGUGACAUUUAUCUUGAGUGAUUUAAAAUUGUCAGAUUUGUUCAGAUAUUAGUUCAAUUUUAAUAUCAAUGAUGGAUGGAAUGCUUGAUUAUACUAUAGAAAUACUUUCUUUAGCAUUUUAUUUCUUUUAAAUCUUUGUGGUAAAUGAGUUAUUCUGCAAAUUGAGAGGUAACGAGUCAGUUAUUUUACAACCAGUGAGCUGCAGCGACCUGAGACUGGUUCCAGGAUCCCUCUUUCCCCAUCAUGCUGCUUGUUAACUUGUUUAUGUGACAUGGGGUCUCUCCGUGUUUGUAUUUAGAUAGUUGGGGAAGUAAUUAGUGCUCAGUGAAAUGUGGUACAUCAUCAGUGACUUACAGAGGGAGCAGGACAGAGUGAUUUGCCGCGGCAUGGAUGUUAGCCUGCUGGGUAUCCGUCUGGCCCCAAGGUUACAUGCGUAACUUUUCUGCUGCCCCAGAUGCAGGCUGAAAUGGGCUGUGCUCCAUAACUCAUCCCAGCACCCUUCUACUCAAAGAUGCUGUUUGCUGGGAGAAUGAAAUGAGACAGCAACCAGCAUGGCUCAGUCCAUCUGGGGGAGAUGUGAGACAUUAAAACUUGCUGUUGACAUUAAUGGAUCAAAAUAGGGGCAUUUUUAUUUGAUUUUAUGUAAAGCUAAAUUAAAGAUUAUUCUUUCUUAAAUCUUGCAUUUCUUGUGAAAAAAAAAAUAUUUUAACUCAAAUUGUUUUCUUCUGUUUUGUAAAAUAUAAUUGUGCUAAACUAUAGCCAUAAUAUACUAACUCCAUUUUGAUUUACUCUUUUUCUAAUAUUGUAUCAUCAGCCAACAAAUACAUUUCGAUAAUUUUGAUACAUUUGUAAUAUCAUUAAUAUAAAUAAUGAACAGUUUGGACCCAGGACUGACCCUUGGGGUACCCCACAUGUUACGGUAUUGAAUGUGGAUUUUAUGUCUUUGAUUUGUACAAAUUAUUUUUGGUUUAUUAAAUCACUGCUUACCCAUUGUAAGGUAACACCUUUGAUGCCAUAUUUACUAAAUUUGUUUCAGUAAAAGGUUGUGGUUUAUGGUGUCAAAUGCUAUAAAAGGCGGAUGAGAUUUUUUUUUUUUAAUUUUUUGUCAACUGCUGUGAACAUUUCUUAAAAUAAAUCCAUCACUGCCAUUGUUGUGGAGUGAUUUGUUCUGAAGCUAUACUGACUUUUGUUUAGGAUAUUUUCUUCGUCUAGGAAUGUGUCCUAAGAAGCUACUAACCACCAAAGCAAGCACUUCCUGUUACAAAUUCUGCCUGAGACCUUUAAGUGUGGAGUUCACUGAGUGGAUGAAUCUUCCCCCUCGUCCCUCAGGAGUGAAUGUGAAAAUGUCUGUGUGUGGUGAGGGGUGGGGGGGUGGGAGGUUGUCUUUUGGUGGCCCCAUGAUGUACCGCCAACGUGACAGCUGUGAUGAGUUCCAGCACACGCUGGUGGUCCUUAUAAGGAUGUGACAACUGCAGAAGUGGAUAGGUCCUACAGCAAAGUAUAUGUUAAUGUUUGGAUCAGAUGUAGGGACAAACAGAAGAUGGACAUUGUUAAAUCCAGUACAAUGUUGUUAGCACAAAUUGGAUACACAAAAAAAGAAAAAAA